AACGCACCUUGCGCCCUUUGGUAUUCCGAGGGGCAUGCCUGUUUGAGUGUCUUGAAAUCAUCAAGCCCAUCGGCGCUCGUCGCCGGGGGGUUUGGACUUGGGGGCGUUGCUGGCCGCCUGCGGCCGGCUCCCCUUAAAUGAAUCGGUCGGGCUAUUGUGUGCCGGUCCACGGGCGUUGUAUCACCCUCGUCCUGGGAAUGGCGCUCGACUAGAAGGCCCUUCCUCGACCGCCUCUGGAGUGGCGGUCAAAGGCGCUUUUUUUCGCCACUUGUGAUCUGACCUCAAAUCAGGUAGGACUACCCGCUGAACUUAA
rnacentral:misc_RNA from 1 species